GCGCGAAACCUUUACAAUGCGCGAAAGCGUGAUAAGGGGACUCCAAGUGUGCAUAUACCAUAUGCACUUUUUCGAAGCUUAAAAAGCUCCGGGAAUAAGGGGUGGGCAAGACUAGUGCCAGCCGCCGCGGUAAAACUAGCAUCCCAAGUGGCAAUCACCUUUACUGGGCUUAGAGCGUCCGUAGCUCGUUUGGAAAGUCCCUGGUGAAAUCCUGCGGCUUAACCGUAGGGAGUGCCGGGGAAACUACCAAGCUUGAAGGCAGGAGAGGCCGGGGGUACUUCUUGGGUAGGGGUGAAAUCCUAUAAUCCUUGAAGGACCAACAGUGGCGAAGGCGCCCGGGCAUGAAUGCGCUUGACAGUGAGGGACGAGAGCCAGGGUCGCGAAACGGAUUAGAUACCCGUGUAGUCCUGGCCGUAAACGAUGCUGACUAGGUGGGGUGUGGAUCUUAGAGAUCAUGCUAUGCCGAGGGAACCGUUAAGUCAGCCGCCUGGGGAUACGACCGCAAGGUUGAAACUUAAGGAAUUGGCGGGGGAGCACGUACGGAA
rnacentral:rRNA from 1 species